rnacentral:lncRNA from 10 species
GUAUUAGUUUCUCCAGUGCCUACUGGUUGUCAAAAAGGUCCAUGCACAAAGGAAAUUAAGUCGCUGCAAUGUGCUGGACAAUAGAGUAUUAUUCAUGGUUGAAACAGAGAAAUCCUUUUUCAAAUGUGGUCGAAAUAGGAGAAGCAAGGGGUCUGGGAGGAGUAAAACAGCACAUCUUUGCCUGCUUUUCUGAAAGGACUGGUUGUAACCAUUUUGUUGUUGUUGUUGUUUCAUAUUGAAGAUAGCAUUAAUCUUUCUAGGAAGUCUGUAGUUCAGAUGGGAGCUGCAGUUAACAAUGCCCCCUCUGUUGCUAACACGUUAAUGAAUGUUGAAUCAGCAGGAGAGAAAUGACUUCUCCUCCCCCAUAUUCCAUGUCCUGCUGAUAGCAAGGACAUACAUGCUGCUGACUGGCUGCCUAAUGGCCCAUGGAAUUCACUGAGGUGACAUGGUUAGUGCUGGAGACCUCAAAAGGGCUUCUUCCUUCAUUCUUAGACCCAGAGGAAAGCACUGGGAGGAAUGAGAAAGUAGCGACUAGACAAAAAUGAAAACUCUUUAAGAAGCAUUGCUGAAGUUACAGGGGAAAAAGAUUAAGACAACUGAGGUUAAGGGCCUGACUCCAGAUCACACAGCAAGGGAGAUGGCAAAAUCAAGAUUUCAACCCAGGAAACCUGCCUCCCAUGCCUAUGUUAAUCACUACACCCUUCCCACAAUAAAUAAUCAAAUAAGCUAUUA